GAUUUCUGGUACGGCGCACUUGGCCCGUCGUGGUUACACGUAUGUGUGCCGGUGUGCGCCUGCCAUCCAUCUGGAGAACGCUGUCGCCCUUCACUGGGUGGGCAGUGGUAUCCAGAUCUUUUACUUUGAAAAAAUUAGAGUGUUUAAAGCAGGCUUGCGCUAUGAAUAUAUUAGCAUGGAAUAAUAACUUAGGACUUUGGCUUAGAGUUUUAUUUGGUAUUUUGUGGGCUAAAGUAAUGAUUGAUAGGGACAGUUGGGGGUGCUAGUAUUCAGCGGCCAGAGGUGAAAUUCUUGGAUUCGCUGAAGACUAACUUAUGCGAAAGCAUU
rnacentral:rRNA from 1 species